GACGAACGCUGGCGGCGUGCUUAACACAUGCAAGUCGAACGUGAUUUUUGUGGAAAGCUCUUCGGGGACGGAAGCGAAAUGAAAGUGGCGAACGGGUGAGUAACACGUGAGCAACCUACCUUACACAGGGGGAUAGCCGUUGGAAACGACGAUUAAUACCGCAUGAGACCACAGUACUGCAUGGUAUAGGGGUCAAAGAUUUAUCGGUGUAAGAUGGGCUCGCGUCUGAUUAGCUAGUUGGAAGGGUAAAGGCCUACCAAGGCAACGAUCAGCAGCCGGUCUGAGAGGAUGAACGGCCACAUUGGAACUGAGACACGGUCCAAACUCCUACGGGAGGCAGCAGUGGGGAAUAUUGCACAAUGGGGGGAACCCUGAUGCAGCGACGCCGCGUGAGCGAAGAAGGUUUUCGAAUCGUAAAGCUCUGUCCUAUGAGAAGAUAAUGACGGUAUCAUAGGAGGAAGCCCCGGCUAAAUACGUGCCAGCAGCCGCGGUAAUACGUAUGGGGCGAGCGUUGUCCGGAAUUAUUGGGCGUAAAGGGUACGUAGGCGGCCUUUUAAGUCAGGUGUGAAAGCGUGAGGCUUAACCUCAUUAAGCACUUGAAACUGGAAGGCUUGAGUGAAGGAGAGGAAAGUGGAAUUCCUAGUGUAGCGGUGAAAUGCGUAGAUAUUAGGAGGAAUACCGGUGGCGAAGGCGACUUUCUGGACUUUUACUGACGCUCAGGUACGAAAGCGUGGGGAGCAAACAGG
rnacentral:rRNA from 1 species